rnacentral:rRNA from 1 species
UACGUAGGGGGCAAGCGUUGUCCGGAUUUAUUGGGCGUAAAGAGCGUGUAGGCGGCUUGGUAGGUCCGCUGUGAAAACUCGAGGCUCAACCUCGAGAUGUCGGCGGAAACUGUCUGGCUAGAGUCCGGAAGAGGAGAGUGGAAUUCCUGGUGUAGCGGUGAAAUGCGCAGAUAUCAGGAAGAACACCUAUGGCGAAGGCAGCUCUCUGGGACGGUACUGACGCUGAGACGCGAAAGCGUGGGGAGCGAACAGG